AGGAUGAACGCUGGCGGCGUGCCUAACACAUGCAAGUCGAACGUCCUGUCUCGCAAGAGGCAGGGAGUGGCGGACGGGUGAGUACCACGUGGGUCAUCUACCGUGAGGUGAGGAAUACCGGCGAGAAAUCGCCGACAAGACCGCAUAGGCUCGAUGCAAGUCGAGCAAAGCUCUCUCGAGAGAGGGAGCGCCACACGAGGAGCCUGCGCCCGAUUAGCUAGCUGGUGGAGUAACGGUUCACCAGGGCGACGAUCGGUAGCUGGUCUGAGAGGACGAUCAGCCACACUGGGAUUGAGAACGGCCCAGACUCCUACGGGGGCAGCAGUGAGGAAUUUUCGUCAAUGGGGGCAACCCUGAACGAGCAACGCCGCGUGCAGGAGAAGGUUUUCGGAUCGUAAACUGCUUUUCUCGGGGAAGAGAACGGACGGUACCCGAGGAAUCGAGCCCCGGCUAACUACGUGCCAGCAGCCGC
rnacentral:rRNA from 1 species